rnacentral:rRNA from 1 species
AGAGUUUGAUCAUGGCUCAGAGUGAACGCUGGCGGCGUGCUUAACACAUGCAAGUCGAACGAUGAAUAAGAGCUUGCUCUUAGAAUUAGUGGCGCACGGGUGAGUAAUAUAUAGAUAAUGUACCCCUUAGUCUGGGAUAGCCACUGGAAACGGUGAUUAAUACUGGAUACUCCUUCUAGCUUCAAGGUUAGUCGGGAAAGUUUUUCGCUAAGGGAUCGGUCUAUAUCCUAUCAGUUAGUUGGUGAGGUAAUGGCUCACCAAGGCAAUGACAGGUAGCGGGUUUGAGAGGAUGAUCCGCCACACUGGUACUGAGACACGGACCAGACUCCUACGGGAGGCAGCAGUGAGGAAUAUUGCACAAUGGGGGAAACCCUGAUGCAGCAACGCCGCGUGGAGGAUGACGCAUUUCGGUGUGUAAACUCCUUUUAUGAGUCAAGAAAAUGACGGUAGCUCAUGAAUAAGCACCGGCUAACUCCGUGCCAGCAGCCGCGGUAAUACGGAGGGUGCAAGCGUUACUCGGAAUCACUGGGCGUAAAGGACGCGUAGGCUGGUUUUCAAGUCAGAUGUGAAAUCCAAUGGCUCAACCAUUGAACUGCAUUUGAAACUGGGAACCUAGAGUAUGGGAGGGGGAGAUGGAAUUAGUAGUGUAGGGGUAAAAUCCGUAGAUAUUACUAGGAAUACCGAAAGCGAAGGCGAUCUCCUGGAACAUUACUGAGCUGAGGCGUGAAAGCGUGGGGAGCAAACAGGAUUAGAUACCCUAGUAGUCC